UACGUAGGGGGCUAGCGUUGUCCGGAUUUAUUGGGCGUAAAGAGCUCGUAGGCGGCUUGUCGCGUCGACUGUGAAAACCCGCAGCUCAACUGUGGGCUUGCAGCCGAUACGGGCAGGCUAGAGUUCGGUAGGGGAGACUGGAAUUCCUGGUGUAGCGGUGAAAUGCGCAGAUAUCAGGAGGAACACCGAUGGCGAAGGCAGGUCUCUGGGCCACUACUGACGCUGAGAAGCGAAAGCGUGGGGAGCGAACAGG
rnacentral:rRNA from 1 species